rnacentral:lncRNA from 1 species
UCAGCUCAGUGCAGCUGUUACAGCCCUCAACAGUGAAAGUAACUUUGCCCGAGCAUAUGCACAGGGUAUCAGCCGAACCAAGUACUGGGAGUUGAUUUAUGAAGACUCUAUGGAUCUAAUCGCAAAGCUACCUUGUGUUGCAGCAAAGAUCUACCGAAAUCUCUACAGAGAAGGCAGCGGUAUUGGGGCCAUUGACUCUAACCUGGACUGGUCUCACAAUUUCACCAACAUGUUAGGCUAUACUGAUCAUCAGUUCACUGAGCUCACGCGCCUGUACCUCACCAUCCACAGGUAAGCUAGACCCAGCAACCACAGCCACUAGGUGCCUCAAUUGGUGGGAAAUUUUUUUAAAAGCUCCUUUAUGUUCUCAUCUUCUGAGAACAGAUGAUAGGCAGCAAGAAGACAGAAACGUGGCAUAAAGGAUGAUCCAAGGCAAGAAAGGGGUCUAGUAAGCAAGGUCAGGAGGCCUAAAGAAAUUACUGUAACCAUGCUAAGAACAAGAUGGUGCUUCUGGCUGGGAAAAGGU